rnacentral:rRNA from 1 species
GACGAACGCUGGCGGCGUGCUUAACACAUGCAAGUCGAGCGAUGAAGCUUCUUCGGAAGUGGAUUAGCGGCGGACGGGUGAGUAACACGUGGGUAACCUGCCUCAUAGAGGGGAAUAGCCUUCCGAAAGGAAGAUUAAUACCGCAUAAGAUUGUAGCUUCGCAUGAAGCAGCAAUUAAAGGAGCAAUCCGCUAUGAGAUGGACCCGCGUCGCAUUAGCUAGUUGGUGAGGUAACGGCUCACCAAGGCGACGAUGCGUAGCCGACCUGAGAGGGUGAUCGGACGCAUUGGGACUGAGACACGGCCCAGACUCCUACGGGAGGCAGCAGUGGGGAAUAUUGCACAAUGGGGGAAACCCUGAUGCAGCAACGCCGCGUGAGUGAUGACGGUCUUCGGAUUGUAAAACUCUGUCUUCAGGGACGAUAAUGACGGUACCUGAGGAGGAAGCCACGGCUAACUACGUGCCAGCCGCCGCAGUAA